rnacentral:rRNA from 5 species
AAAUUGAAGAGUUUGAUCAUGGCUCAGAUUGAACGCUGGCGGCAGGCCUAACACAUGCAAGUCGAACGGUAACAGGAAGCAGCUUGCUGCUUUGCUGACGAGUGGCGGACGGGUGAGUAAUGUCUGGGAAACUGCCUGAUGGAGGGGGAUAACUACUGGAAACGGUGGCUAAUACCGCAUAACGUCGCAAGACCAAAGAGGGGGACCUUCGGGCCUCUUGCCAUCAGAUGUGCCCAGAUGGGAUUAGCUUGUUGGUGAGGUAACGGCUCACCAAGGCGACGAUCCCUAGCUGGUCUGAGAGGAUGACCAGCCACACUGGAACUGAGACACGGUCCAGACUCCUACGGGAGGCAGCAGUGGGGAAUAUUGCACAAUGGGCGCAAGCCUGAUGCAGCCAUGCCGCGUGUAUGAAGAAGGCCUUCGGGUUGUAAAGUACUUUCAGCGGGGAGGAAGGUGUUGUGGUUAAUAACCGCAGCAAUUGACGUUACCCGCAGAAGAAGCACCGGCUAACUCCGUGCCAGCAGCCGCGGUAAUACGGAGGGUGCAAGCGUUAAUCGGAAUUACUGGGCGUAAAGCGCACGCAGGCGGUCUGUCAAGUCGGAUGUGAAAUCCCCGGGCUCAACCUGGGAACUGCAUUCGAAACUGGCAGGCUUGAGUCUUGUAGAGGGGGGUAGAAUUCCAGGUGUAGCGGUGAAAUGCGUAGAGAUCUGGAGGAAUACCGGUGGCGAAGGCGGCCCCCUGGACAAAGACUGACGCUCAGGUGCGAAAGCGUGGGGAGCAAACAGGAUUAGAUACCCUGGUAGUCCACGCCGUAAACGAUGUCUACUUGGAGGUUGUGCCCUUGAGGCGUGGCUUCCGGAGCUAACGCGUUAAGUAGACCGCCUGGGGAGUACGGCCGCAAGGUUAAAACUCAAAUGAAUUGACGGGGGCCCGCACAAGCGGUGGAGCAUGUGGUUUAAUUCGAUGCAACGCGAAGAACCUUACCUGGUCUUGACAUCCACAGAAGAAUCCAGAGAUGGAUUUGUGCCUUCGGGAACUGUGAGACAGGUGCUGCAUGGCUGUCGUCAGCUCGUGUUGUGAAAUGUUGGGUUAAGUCCCGCAACGAGCGCAAC